GACGAACGCUGGCGGCACGCUUAACACAUGCAAAUCGAACGAGAGAAGAGAAGCUUGCUUUUUUGAUCUAGUGGCGGACGGGUGAGUAACACGUGAGCAAUCUGCCUUUCAGAGGGGGAUACCGAUUGGAAACGAUCGUUAAUACCGCAUAACAUAAUUGAACCGCAUGAUUUGAUUAUCAAAGAUUUAUCGCUGAAAGAUGAGCUCGCGUCUGAUUAGCUAGUUGGUAAGGUAACGGCUUACCAAGGCGACGAUCAGUAGCCGGACUGAGAGGUUGAUCGGCCACAUUGGGACUGAGACACGGCCCAGACUCCUACGGGAGGCAGCAGUGGGGAAUAUUGCACAAUGGAGGAAACUCUGAUGCAGCGAUGCCGCGUGAGGGAAGAAGGUUUUAGGAUUGUAAACCUCUGUCUUCAGGGACGAAAAAAGACGGUACCUGAGGAGGAAGCUCCGGCUAACUACGUGCCAGCAGCCGCGGUAAUACGUAGGGAGCGAGCGUUGUCCGGAAUUACUGGGUGUAAAGGGAGCGUAGGCGGGAUCGCAAGUCAGAUGUGAAAACUAUGGGCUUAACCCAUAAACUGCAUUUGAAACUGUGGUUCUUGAGUGAAGUAGAGGUAAGCGGAAUUCCUAGUGUAGCGGUGAAAUGCGUAGAUAUUAGGAGGAACAUCAGUGGCGAAGGCGGCUUACUGGGCUUUAACUGACGCUGAGGCUCGAAAGCGUGGGGAGCAAACAGGAUUAGAUACCCUGGUAGUCCACGCCGUAAACGAUGAUUACUAGGUGUGGGGGGACUGACCCCUUCCGUGCCGCAGCAAACGCAAUAAGUAAUCCACCUGGGGAGUACGACCGCAAGGUUGAAACUCAAAGGAAUUGACGGGGGCCCGCACAAGCAGUGGAGUAUGUGGAUUAAUUCGAAGCAACGCGAAGAACCUUACCAGGUCUUGACAUCGUAUGCAUAGCUCAGAGAUGAGUGAAAUCUCUUCGGAGACAUAUAGACAGGUGGUGCAUGGUUGUCGUCAGCUCGUGUCGUGAGAUGUUGGGUUAAGUCCCGCAACGAGCGCAACCCUUACUGUUAGUUGCUACGCAAGAGCACUCUAGCAGGACUGCCGUUGACAAAACGGAGGAAGGUGGGGAGGACGUCAAAUCAUCAUGCCCCUUAUGACCUGGGCCUCACACGUACUACAAUGGCUGUCAACAGAGGGAAGCAAAGCCGCGAGGUGGAGCAAACCCCUAAAAGCAGUCUUAGUUCGGAUUGUAGGCUGCAACCCGCCUACAUGAAGUCGGAAUUGCUAGUAAUCGCAGAUCAGCAUGCUGCGGUGAAUAAGUUCCCGGGCCUUGCACA
rnacentral:rRNA from 1 species